GAAUGAAGGAAGCAUGGUAGUGUGCACAGAAAUCGAAUUCAUAGGUCGACAUGUCUGCUCCCUCUGAUGCUUUCUGAUUUGGGGGCCUGGUUUAGACCUACAUCU